UACGUAGGGGGCAAGCGUUGUCCGGAAUCAUUGGGCGUAAAGAGCGUGUAGGCGGUCCGGUCAGUCGGUUGUGAAAGUCAAGGGCUCAACCCUUGAAUGCCGGCCGAUACUGCCGGGCUAGAGUCCGGAGGAGGUGAGUGGAAUUCCUGGUGUAGCGGUGAAAUGCGCAGAUAUCAGGAGGAACACCGAUGGCGAAGGCAGCUCACUGGGACGGUACUGACGCUGAGACGCGAAAGCGUGGGGAGCAAACAGG
rnacentral:rRNA from 1 species